rnacentral:misc_RNA from 1 species
GAUGAAGAACGUAGCGAAAUGCGAUACGUAAUGUGAAUUGCAGAAUUCAGUGAAUCAUCGAAUCUUUGAACGCAUAUUGCGCUCUCUGGUAUUCCGGAGAGCAUGCUUGUUUGAGUAUCAGUAAACACCUCAACUCCCCUUUCUAUUUUGAAAUGGGAGCUGGACUUGAGUGAUCCCAACGCUUUUCUCACCGAAAAGUGGCGGGUUACUUGAAAUGCAGGUGCAGCUGGACUUUUCUCUGAGCUAAAAGCAUAUCUAUUUAGUCUGCCUAAAAAACAGAUUAUUACCUUUGCUGCAGCUAACAUAAAGGAGAUUAGUUCUUGUGCUGACUGAUGCAGGAUUCACAGAGACAGCUUCGGCUGGCCUUUGUAAACUCGAUCUCAAAUCAAGUAAGACUACCCGCUGAACUUAAGCAUAUCAAUAAGCGGAGGA